GACGAACGCUGGCGGCGUGCCUAAUACAUGCAAGUUGAGCGAUGAAGAUUGGUGCUUGCACCAAUUUGAAGAGCAGCGAACGGGUGAGUAACGCGUGGGGAAUCUGCCUUUGAGCGGGGGACAACUUUUGGAAACGAAUGCUAAUACCGCAUAACAACUUUAAACAUAAGUUUUAAGUUUGAAAGAUGCAAUUGCAUCACUCAAUGAUGAUCCCGCGUUGUAUUAGCUAGUUGGUUAGGUAAAGGCUCACCAAGGCCAAGAUACAUAGCCGAACUGAGAGGGGGGUCGGCCAAAUUGGGAAUGGGAAAAGGCCCAAAACUCUUACGGAAGGAGCAGGAGGGAAACUUCCGGAAUGGAGGGAAGUCUGAACGAGGAAAGGCGGGGGAGGGAAGAAGGUUUUCGGAUCGGAAAAAUCUGUUGGUAGAGAAGAACGAUGGUGAGAGUGGAAAGCUCAUCAAGUGACGGUAACUAACCAGAAAGGGACGGCUAACUACGUG
rnacentral:rRNA from 1 species